rnacentral:rRNA from 1 species
ACUCCUACGGGAGGCAGCAGUAAGGAAUAUUGGUCAAUGGACGCAAGUCUGAACCAGCCAUGCCGCGUGAAGGAUGAAGGUCCUCUGGAUUGUAAACUUCUUUUAUAGGGGGCGAAAAAGGUUUUCUAAAUCACUUGACAGUACCCUAUGAAUAAGCACCGGCUAACUCCGUGCCAGCAGCCGCGGUAAUACGGAGGGGUGCAAGCGUUAUCCGGAUUCACUGGGGUUUAAAGGGGUGCGUAGGCGGGUAGGUAAGUCAGAGGUGAAAUCCUGGAGCUUAACUCCAGAACUGCCUUUGAUACUAUCUAUCUUGAAUAUGGUGGAGGUAAGCGGAAUAUGUCAUGUAGCGGUGAAAUGCAUAGAUAUGACAUAGAACACCUAUUGCGAAGGCAGCUUACUACGCCUAUAUUGACGCUGAGGCACGAAAGCGUGGGGAUCAAACAGGAUUAGAUACCCUGGUAGGAUAGCG